CAACACUUGUUAUAGGAUACCUUGAAAAGAUAGCCUGUGACCAAAAUUUCGAUUUCAACAGUUCUUUCUGGCUAGUGGAACUGGAGGACGAGGACUGUUGUCUGUCAUUCUGAAGCAAGACCUUUGGGGCCCUUUCAAGAAGCAGCUUGAGCGCUCUUCCUCUCAGGACCAUAUGGCAGCACAGAUGAAAAAAUGCAAGAACACCUCAAAGCAGACUGGCUUCUACAGCAGCAAACACCUAUCAACAGCCUGCCCCCAAUUCACCCUUCCUUUUUGAAGAAAUGAACAGAACCUAAGGCUGGACUUGGGCAGGGCCUUGCAGCAGAGCCUCAAGAACGCUCGGUACAGCUCAAAACCCUCGGUGAGGAAAUAGCAGCAAACACAUAUUUGCACCUCACAGCUUUAUCAAGGCUGGCUCCCCUGAACGGUCAGUCGCCAGCACCAAUAGGAGGCCCCGUGGAAGCACCAUGUGAGGUAAAGCUUUGUCUGCCUCCUGACUGACUGUACUCUUUGCCUCUCAGGCCACAGCAUCAGGGAAAGCUGGUUAGAUGGAGUCAGUCUCUGAAAAUCAGUCUGUGAUCUGGUUUAUUCACUUGAGACAGGGCCACUGUGUCAGCCGCAGCUGUGUGGUUCAGCGCCUUCGCGGAGAGGGCUGCUGCUGUCUCUGCUCCCUUGACUGCCCAGAGGAUGGAAUGGAGAAGUGCUCAGGCAGAAAGAAGGGUCAGCAGG